GCAUAUCAAUAAGCGGAGGAAAAGAAACCAACAGGGAUUGCCCUUAGUAACGGCGAAGUGAAGCGGCAACAGCUCAAAUUUGAAAGCUGGCUCCGGCCCGCAUUUGUAAUUUGCAGAGGAUGCUUUUGGCGAGGUGCCUUCCGAGUUCCCUGGAACGGGACGCCAUAGAGGGUGAGAGCCCCGUAUGGAUGGACACCAAACCUGUGUAAAGCUCCUUCAACGAGUCGAGUAGUUUGGGAAUGCUGCUCUAAAUGGGAGGUAAAUCUCUUCUAAAGCUAAAUACCGGCCAGAGACCGAUAGCGCACAAGUAGAGUGAUCGAAAGAUGAAAAGCACCUUGAAAAGGGGGUUAAACAGUACGUGAAAUUGUUGAAAGGGAAGCGCUUGUGACCAGACUUGCGCCGGGCAGCUCAUCAGGGGUUCUCCCCUGUGCACUCUGCCCGGCUCAGGCCAGCAUCGGUUCUCGUGGGAGGAUAAGAACAGUGGGAACGUGGCCCCCUCUCGGGGGGGUGUUAUAGCCCAUUGUACGAUACUCUCGUGGGGACCGAGGUUCGCGCUCCGCAAGGAUGCUGGCGUAAUGGUCAUCAGCGACCCGUCUUGAAACACGGACCAAGGAGUCGUCCAUUAGAGCGAGCGUUUGGGUGUAAAACCCGCACGCGUAAUGAAAGUGAACGCAGGUGAGAGCUUCGGCGCAUCAUCGACCGAUCCUGAUGUCUUCGGAUGGAUUUGAGUAAGAGUUUUAACGGACGGACCCGAAAGACAGUGAACUAUGCUUGUAUAGGGUGAAGCCAGAGGAAACUCUGGUGGAGGCUCGCAGCGGUUUCUGACGUGCAAAUCGAUCGUCAAAUAUGAGCAUGGGGGCGAAAGACUAAUCGAACUGUCUAGUAGCUGGGUUAUCCGCCGA
rnacentral:rRNA from 1 species